CACUAUGCCUAGCCGUAAACAUCGACAGUAAACUACACCCACUGUCCGCCCGGGGACUAUGAGCACCAGCUUAAAACCCAAAGGACUUGGCGGUGCUUCAAACCCACCUAGAGGAGCCUGUCCUAGAACCGAUAAUCCCCGUUAAACCUCACCCUUCCUUGUUCUUUUCAGCCUAUAUACCACCGUCGCCAGCUUACCCUGUGAAGGCCUAGUAGUAAGCGGAAUCGGCACAGCCCAAAAUGUCAGGUCGAGGUGUAGCCUAUGGAAGGGGAAGAGAUGGGCUACAUUCACUGGUACAGUGAAUACGGAUGAUCACCCUGAAACGGGUAUCUGAAGGAGGAUUUAGCAGUAAGCAAAAAAUAGAGUGUUUUGCUGAAGUCGGCCAUGAAGCGUGCACACACCGCCCGUCACUCUCCCCUCGCCUUUUUAGCAACCUGGACGUAUAAUUACUACACCACCAAACCCAAGGGGAGGCAAGUCGUAA
rnacentral:rRNA from 1 species